AGCGAAUAGAUACCCAGGUAGUCCACGCCGUAAACUAUGCCGACUAGGUCUUGGGGAGUAUCGACCCUCCCUUGGAUCGAAAGCUAAACGCGUUAAGUCGGCCGCCUGGGGAGUACGAGCGCAAGCUUAAAACUCAAAGGAAUUGACGGGGACCUGCACAAGCGGUGGAGCGUGUGGUUUAAAUUCGUCAGUAAGCGUAGAACCUUACCGAGGCUUGACAUCUCCGGAAAGCCCUAGAAACAGGGCCGUGCCGCAAGGAACCGGAUGACAGGUGUUGCACGGUUGUCGUCAGCUCGUGCCGUGAGGUGUCCCGUUCAGUCGGUUAACGAGCGCAACCCCUAUCCUGUGUUGUACUUUUCACAGG
rnacentral:rRNA from 1 species